GGUUAAAUGGUGUAAUUAACAUAUUGAAUUGUAAAUUCAAAGAUAUUUUUAGUUUUAACCA
rnacentral:tRNA from 1 species